CGUCCGCUCAUAUUCCUAGGCCCGGCCCAUUUGUUUUUUCGCCGAGGCGCAAGCACCGUCAGCUCCACCCAUGGUCAGCUCCCCAGCCCACGAUGGCACGAUCUUUCAGUUUCCACAAACUCGUCCCCUCUCCUGCUCCGUACCACCUGCCGCCGGCGUUGCUCGACAACCGUCCCCCGCCGGCCCCGCCCCUUAGGCCUCAACCCAGCGCGGCUCCUCAACCUACCCCUGCUGGCGCUGCCCUGCUUCACACCCUCCAAGACACGAGAAACACUCCCUCCAGGCGGCAGUUGCGGUGAUCUGGUCCAAUUCCUCUCUCAGGCGGUGGCGGCGGUGCGUGAGGCUCUUCCUCCAAGUCAGCGGCGCGCGCGCGGCCCUCUAUCUAUGGGCGGUGGUGCGGGGGCUUCGCCCCUCCCUGCAGCGGUGCUUCUGCAUCACUUGUUGUACUUAGGCCGAUCUUGUCCGCCUUGAUACACAGAUCUUGUAUUGUGGUUUACAGAUAGUUGUACAAUUUAUUUUUUGCAUUUUCUGAUCUACUUUCCCCUUUCCAGGUUUGACGGCGCAACCGACGCCCUCGUGGAUCUACAACUGCAGAAAGAGCAGGUGUCGUCUCGUGCCGUACGAGCAACCCAACAAUCACCAAUGAGAUGCCCUGCGACCAUGCUGUCAACAACCAUCCUAUAGGGUUCCAGGUGCUGUGGAGGGCAGAAUCGCUUGCUUUGGGGAGUUCGGAUUGGGAAUGCAGGCUGCCAUCCAUGGGAGUUCGGGUAGUCUUAACUAUUGAUGGAGGAGGCGGAGAGAAGUAUCAAUCCCUCCACCAUCCAUUGAACACACUUGUUAUUUUCAAUCCUUGAUACAUGCACCUUCUUUAUUGUAGAAGUAUAUCCUUUUUUCAAUGGUUACCUGUUAUCACAUAUUAAUACUACCAUCAUUGACUACGCCUUUGUUUCUUGAACUAGCUUAGAAACAUUGGAGACUAUUUCUUUUUGACAAGGUUAUGUGCAGUUUUGUGCUCUUUUGUAACAUUGUAUUUCAGUUCAUCUGUAGCUGAUGCAUUAUAUUAAAUGAUGCUAUCACUGACUA